AUGAGUACCCACGUUUGGAAAACUAAUAUUUUCCACCUUUUAAAAUUUUUUUUUUUUUUUUCAUAUAUAUUAUUAAUAUAUAUUUUUUUACUAAAAGUAAAAUGCAGCAAAAAUCAUUUACAGGAAACAAAUACAGAUAAGGAAGUUUUAUAUAAAUAUAAGUUAUAUGGUGAUAUAGAUGAAUAUGCAUAUUAUUUUAUUGAUAUAGAUAUUGGUACACCUAAACAAAGAUUGUCUUUUAUACUAGACACUGGUUCAUCUUCAUUAAGCUUUCCAUGUGAAGGUUGUAAGAAAUGUGGGGUACAUAUGGAAAAUCCAUUUAAUUUAAAUUUGUCAAAAACUUCUUCUAUUUUAUAUUGUAAUAAAUAUAAUUGUCCAUAUAAUUUAAAAUGUGUUUCAGGCAAAUGUGAAUAUUUACAAUCUUAUUGUGAAGGUUCUCAAAUUCGAGGUUAUUAUUUUUCUGAUUUUGUAAAUUUACCAGCAAAUAAUAAUAAUAAUACACUUACAUUUAAAAAAUAUAUGGGCUGUCACAUGCAUGAGGAAAGUUUAUUUUUACAACAACAAGCCACAGGUGUAUUAGGAUUAAGUUUAACAAAACCUAAAGGUGUUCCAACAUUUAUUGAUUUAUUACUUUCCAACUUUGGAGAAAUAAAAAAAAUGUUUACUGUUUGUAUUGCAGAAACUGGAGGAGAAUUAAUAAUAGGGGGUUAUGAUAAGGAUUACAUUGUUCGAAGUGAGAUUUACAAUAAUAAUGAUAAUAAAGGUGUAGAAAAUAGUAAUGGAAAAUUUUUUAACAACUUAAAUAAUUUAUUAAAAAAUAAUAAGUUAACUGAUAUAUUAGAAAUAAAUGAUAAUAUAACCAAUAGUGGUUUAACCAAUAGUGGUUUAACCAAUAGUGGUUUAAACAAUAGUGGUUUAAACAAAAGUGGUUUAACCGAUAGUGGUCCAACCGGUAGUGAACAGACGCAAGAAGCACAAGUAAAAAUAAAAGAUUCUGAAAAAUCAAUAAGAAAUAAUAUUGAAAAUAUUAUAUGGGAAAAUAUAACAAAAAAAUAUUAUUAUUAUAUAAAUAUAAGAGGGUUUAGUUUAUAUGGAACUAAUUUAUUAGAUGGAAAUGAACCAUUGGAAAUGUUAGUGGAUUCUGGUAGUACAUUUACACAUAUUCCAGAAAAUAUUUAUUUAAAAUUAAAUUACUUUUUUAAUUUAUUAUGUAUUCAAGACAUAAACAAUAUAAUUGAUAUAAAAAAAAGAUUAGAUAUAAAAAAUGAAGAUCUUGAAAAUAAAUUAAUUUUCUUUGAUAAUUUAAAAGAUACAUUAAAAAAACUUAUUAAUAAAGAAAAUGUUUGUAUACAAAUAGUUGAUGAUGUACAAUGUUGGAAAUCAUUAGAAGGUUUACCUAAUAUUUAUAUUACUAUGUCAGAUAAUCAUAAAUUAGUAUGGGAACCAAACUCUUAUUUAUAUAAAAAAGAACAAUUUUGGUGUAAAGGUAUAGAAAAACAAAUUAAUAAUAAACCUAUAUUAGGUUUAACAUUUUUUAAAAAUAAACAAAUAAUUUUUGAUUUGGAAAAUCAUAAAAUUGGUUUUGUAAAAUCAAAUUGUCCAUCUUAUUCAAUUACUGAUAGAGAAAGAACAUAUAAUGAAUAUAAUAAA
ensembl:lncRNA